GUGUCGCUGCUCACGCAAUAUCGGAUGCACAUAAUGCAUCGGUUAUUCACCGACGAUUUUCAUUUCUCCAUGUUGUGCUAUUGUGGGCAUCGCAGUGGGUGUUCCCCCCUUUGCAUCACUGGUUCGCUACCAUAACUCCUUCCUUCGAUCUCUUCAUUGCCGAAAAAAUAGGUCACCACCAGCGUUCACAUUGUCGCUGUUCUCAUCCGGUGUCGCUUACGCUAUAUUCGAGCCCCUUCCAUUACUUCUUCAGUUUCAAUCUUCAGAUGAGUUGUUAUUUUUCCAGAUUAAUUUUUCUGAUUUUUUUGUUGUAAAUCUGUGUUAACUUUCCUUAUGGUUACCUUUUUAUUUAAAUUAAUUGAUAUGUUCCUGAGUUAUUUAAUUUUCUUCCUUUGUGAUUAUUAUUAAGAGAGGAUGUUGUUUUGGUUUGGUUAAUUAUUGAUGGUUGUUGUUGGAUUUCUGAUUUAAUUUUGUACAUCUUCUAAUCCACUGCUCCUUCUAUUUUAUUUUUUCGAUUUAAUUGAUUCCUUUGAAUAAAAGUUUUUUGUUGUUAUUUUUCUGAGUUAAUUUUCUUGGUUUCUUAUUGUUGUCUUUUUUAUUUAAUGGUUGGGCUUCUGGGUUGAUUAAUUUCAUUUAUAUUUUGAUGUUGUUAAUAGAAAAGGAUUGCUAAUUGUUGUUUUUUAAGUUAAUUAUGGUUGACUAUUGUUAAUUUCUAGAGCUAACUUUGUACUAUUUUUCGUCUGAUUGAAUGGUAUUUCCUUGAUUUCUUUUUAAAUAAAGAGGUGAACAUCAAACUGUUGAAUGUUGAAUAUCUGUUCAUACUUAUCAAUUUUCAAUUUCAAGAAUGCAAUUUCUGUUUCUGAUUGUCAAUAAUUUGACAUGUGUAUGUGAUAAAUUUUUUGGCAUGCAAUAUGUCAUAAUAUAUGCAAAUGCUGAGACAUUAUUUUUUUUUACAGUACCACAAGAUCCAAGCAACUGUUGAGGAUCAUUUGAUAACAAAUUUUAUUGAUCAGUUAAAAGAAGGGGAUGUAUUUAUUAUUUCUGAUUUCAAAGUUAUACCUAAUGGUGGAUUGGUCAGAGUUACAAGAAAUCUAUUUCGCAUUCUUUUCAAAUGUAGCACAUCUGUUAUUCCUGCUGCAAGUACAACCAUAUCUAAUCCUGGUUCAACUCUAAUUUCUGUGGACGAGGUUCAUCAAAAGUGCACUGAUUAUGAUUACUUAAUAGAUUUUGUUGGGAUCCUUUGCGGAUUGAAAAGACAAAGGGAUGUUGAGUCAAAUGGAAAGAUAUUGAAAGUUAUGAGCCUUGAAGUUUUUGUUGAUGGACAUCAAUAGUUUUAAGAAGUAUCAGAGACCACCUGUUGUUCUUCUUCAAUCUUUCAAAAUCAAAGUGAAUGGAGACACGAUAUUGCAAGACACCAUUUCACCAGACUCGGUAGUAAUGAAAUUGGGCAUUUAGUGUCUGUGAUUGAUGAUGAAACUUUUAAUUGGAAGCUAAUAAGGACUAUUGCUAAUCUUAAAGCAAACAAUGAGGAUGGGCAAUUCUGUGGUUGGGAAAAUUAAAGAGAUUGUUCAAGACCUAGAGUGGUGGUUCUUUUCUUGUGUUUGUGGUCAUCCAAUUGUAGGUGAUGAUAAUGUAUUUCAUUGUCAGCUGUACAGCAGAGACGUUGAGCACUUUAUUAUCAGUUACAGGAUUAAAGUAUUUGUUGAAGACGGGACUUCUUGUGGAAUGUUUGUCUUGUUAGACAAUGCAGCUACUAAGUUAUUAGGGAGAACCUGUUCAGAUGUCUUUUUGUUUUAGAAGAUGAAAUAGAGAAAAUUGAGCACCCAUACUAUCCAUAGUUUUUUCAUCAACUCAUUGGGAAAGAAAUCGUUUUCAAAGUUCAAACAAAGAGGAUUAAUACUCAAGGUUACUACAGUACAUUUAAAGUUAUCAAUGUCAUAAGUGAUGCACCUUUUUUCAACAAACUUCAGGCUGAUAAAUGCAUCAAGGUGAGUCCUCUUUGUUUAUGUUAGAUAUGAAGGGAAAGAAUAAUUUUCAAAUAUACUUUAUUGAUUCCCAUUUCGUAAUUCUUUCGAUAUUAUUUUAAAUGAUAUCCUUUACAUGUUAACAUGAUUUGCUUCCUACUUUUAAACAUUGACUACAUUUUAUAAUUCAUAUUUCUUUUUAAAUUUUUAAGGAUGAUAGUGCUGAUUCAGCCUUUAGCCCAAUAUUUGAAGACAUUUUUCAAUAAUCAUGGCAACCAAGUCAUCUCUGAUGUUCCAAUACAAGUGCAUACCAUUAAAGAGAUGCUUGCUGAUAUUCUUUGCACUAAAAUAUAUGCUUCCGCAUGAAAGAAUGUUAGGAUUUAUAUUUAUGUCUUCAAUUAUCACAAUUUUUGUUUCAACGUGUAAUUUCAUAAAACAUAUAUGAUAAUAUAUGAAUUACCCUUUGUCUAUAGGACCAAUUUUAUUUCUUGAUCGGUGAAAUUAUUGCUGUGUUGAAACAUCAGAAAUGUUGGUACUUGUGUUGUUUGUGUCAUGCACCAAUUUCUCAUGUUGGGAAUGUAUUUUAUUGUAAUCUGUGUAGAGUUGAGUGUAUUGAUGGUUGAUAAACCCCAAUUUUGUGGUUUAUUUUGUGUUGAAUUUGGUGGGUUUUAUCAACUUUCCUCACAUUUAUUCAAUGAAAUAGCAUGGUUUUUGUAAUUCUCCCUAAUUUGUGCUUAAGAGUAAAAAUAUGCGUACGCGUCUCUUUCUCUUCUCCUUCCUUACUCCAUUGAAGCGACACCACUCACCACCAUCCUACCUCCAUUAACCAGCACCGCCCACACCAGUCCGGCGACCCCAAGCUACCGCCGGCCACCUCUCUUUCUUCCCUAUUCUUUCUUUCUUCUUCCCUCUCUAUCUCCCUUUCUCGGCCGUUUCGCCUUCUCCCCUACCACCAGCUCCGUCGCGCUCACACCAUUGCCACCGGCAUCCUCUCUGACCACCACCACUCCUCUUCCAUCUCUGCGUCUCUGUGUAUUUCGCUCAGCUCCCCUGAUUCGGAGAACCUUCUCCCUGAGCCACUCUCUGUUCAGCUCUGUUCUUCUGCUACCACCGCGGACCACCGUUUUUGCCGCUCCUGUGGCGGCAUUGUUCAGCUCGUCCUCUUUCUUCCUUUCUAGUUUAUACUUUUGCUUUUGAAACCCUCCCAGGUUUCCCCUGCUUUCCUUUCUGCAUUCUAUUCUUUUUAUUCUGUUAAGUUAGGAUUACCUACAUUGUUUAAUUUCUAUUUAAUUAGAUUAGUUAAAAAUGCAUGUUAGUUAAUUAUAGGUGGUUAGGUAGUUUUAAUUGAUUUUGUGGUGGAUUUAGGAUUUAAAUUUUGGUUACUGUUAAUGUCUGGAAUCACUGGUUCACUGAACAGUUUGGUUAAGUGAUGAUGAUUAUGUUCUUCUUGUUCAAAUUUGUAUAAUGCUGCUACAUGCUAUUGUGCUUGAUGUUGUUUGGUGUUGUUUUGCUCGAUAAUGCCCAAUUCAUGAGUUUCAUUCUUGUUUAAAUAUAUCCUAAGUUCAUAUGGAUUGAAUUUGCUGCUUGUUUGAAUUUCGGGUACACUCAAUUUACUGCCGAGAUGCUGCCAAAAUUUUCAAAAAAAAAUUAUGCUAUUACAUUGCAAAUUGUGAAUUGAAUUUGGUACAUUUUAUUAUUGCCAAGUUCAAUUCAUGAUUCAUUCGGUUUGCAUUUCCUUGUUUCUUUUGGUUCCCUUUUCAUUUGAAUUUGUGAUUAACAGAAUCAAGGAACUAUUUGAUGGAUUUCUGUGUCAAAUAGGACCUUGGUUAACCAAGUCAAUGUGAACUUCUUUUGUGUUUUCACUCUUUCAAGUUUAAGUCAAAACCUUUUCGUCUUCUUGGUUCAAGUUUAAUUUCCAUUUUCCUUAACCAAUGAAGCUAUUUUCGUAACUUUGCCAUUUGACUUGAACUUAUUUCCUUUUAAUUGAGGUUCUUUAUAUUUGUAACAAUUGGUGCUUUUCACUAGUGUAAGCCCUUUUGAAUGGAAGUUGACUUCAAUACUCUUUUGGUUACACCAAGUGCAUAUUUCAAUUCUUUCAUACCAAUUCUUACAAAUUUAGUGAUCAAACACAUUGAUGAUUAUCUCACUUCUUUUUGUGCUUAUGUGCAUUACAUAUUUCAUCAUCAAUGACUUGCAUUGCAUUCAUGAAUGUGAGCAUGCUUGUUCUUAAACUUUUUUUUUAAUUUCUCUUGGUUAAGUUUAGUAAUUAUCAUGCCACUGAUUUUUAACCUAAUUUACUGACUUUUGAUUUAAUUAACUUUUUCACUUUUCUUUUAAUUUUUCCUUUUUAAACUAACUCUUUUAAAUUCUUUUGAGGCAUGAUAAUUGCUGUUUCUUGACGAACAAGCAUCUUAAACAUUAUUACAUGAAUUCCUUGGAUUGUGUGUGUGUGUUAGGUGAUAACUUAGGUUAGUCAAAGAUUCAAAUGAUAGCUCACUUGGCUAUACAUAUAUCCUUACCUUUACCUUAUCCCCAUUACAACCUUGAAAAGUCCUCAUGAUAUUUGCAUAUGUACACUAAAUAUUUGUUGAUUGAUUAGAUGAAGAACAAACUCUAGAAACCAUGAUUAGAGGAGAUUUGAGCGGAUUAACCCUAAACAUUUGAGCGACUAGAGUGCAUAUACACAUCCGGUGAUGGUUCGAUUGCUCAAAACCAUAUGUCCAUCUUUGAUCAUUGCUUAUCUUGCAAGUUUGUGAACUCUUUUGAAUAACUCAAUUCAAUUGUGAAUUUAGUUUUGGUAAGAUUAUUUUAGCCCUUGAUUGUGCAUACAUGAUUUCUUAGAGAUUUGACUCACUUUGACCUUAUAGUAAUUAGAAUAGCUAGAUGCAUGUAGGUAGCUUGCAUUUAGAUAGUUGCAUUGAAUAAAUAUUAUUACCCCUUUCUUGUCUUUC